UACGUAGGGGGCGAGCGUUGUCCGGAAUUACUGGGCGUAAAGCGCGCGUAGGCGGCUUUGCAAGUCGGGUGUGAAAUCCCCAGGCUUAACCUGGGAACUGCAUUCGAGACUGCAUUGCUAGAGUAUGGGAGAGGGAAGUGGAAUUUCCGGUGUAGCGGUGAAAUGCGUAGAUAUCGGAAGGAACAUCAGUGGCGAAAGCGACUUCCUGGGCCAAUACUGACGCUCAUGUGCGAAAGCGUGGGGAGCAAACAGG
rnacentral:rRNA from 1 species